UGGGGAAUCUUGCGCAAUGGGCGAAAGCCUGACGCAGCAACGCCGCGUGAGCGAAGAAGGCCUUCGGGUUGUAAAGCUCUGUCAGGGGGAAAGAAGGCACCUGGGUUAAUAGCCCAAGGGCUGACGGUACCCCCAAAGGAAGCCACGGCUAACUACGUGCCAGCAGCCGCGGUAAUACGUAGGUGGCAAGCGUUGUCCGGAAUCAGUGGGCGUAAAGAGCGCGUAGGUGGCUUGUCAGGUCUGAUGUGAAAUUUCGGGGCUCAACUCCGAACCUGCAUCGGAAACCGGCUUGCUAGAGUCUGGGAGAGGAGAGUGGAAUUCCUGGUGUAGCGGUGAAAUGCGUAGAUAUCAGGAGGAACACCGGUAGCGAAGGCGGCCCUCUGGAACAGUACUGACGCUGAGGCGCGAAAGCUAGGGGAGCGAACAGG
rnacentral:rRNA from 2 species